rnacentral:ncRNA from 2 species
UUAAGGGUAGAAAAAGAGCGUUAAGUGUCCAAAAUAACGAAUGAAGUUUUGGAACGAAAAAUGAAAAUUUGCGAUUCUUUUUCGCAUUCACACAU